GGCGGAUGCCUUGGCGUCAGUAGGCGAUCGAAGGACGCGGAUAGCUGCGAUAAGCUUCGGGAGCUGCUCACGAGCGUUGAUCCGGAGAUCUCCGAAUGGGCAACCCACCGGUCAUAAUGGACCGGUAACCCGCAAGGGUGGCAAACGAGGGGAACUGAAACAUCUCACUACCCUCAGGAAAAGAAGAAAAAUCGAUUCCCUGAGUAGCGGCGAGCGAACGGGGAACAGCCCAAACCAUGUCUGUGUAAGCUUUCAGGCGUUGCAGGCACGGGGUUGUGGGGCGAGUUUGGAGGGGCUGAAGACCCUUCGGUCGGUACCGGUCUGUAGCGGAACUCGGUUGGGAAACCAGGCCAUAGCGGGUGAUAGCCCCGUACGCGAAACAGGCACGGACGGAUUGAGACUCGUACCCGAGUACGGCGGGACACGUGGAACCCUGUCGGAAUCUGGAAGGCCCAUCUUCCAAGGCUAAAUACUAACUGACGACCGAUAGUGCACGAGUACCGUGAGGGAAU
rnacentral:rRNA from 1 species